GGGCUAAUCUGCUGUGUACUCGCUAUAGAUAAACAUUUAUUGCCGUGGUCUCUGGUGUGCUGUCUCCACCUUAUCUACUGAAGAAGGAUGAACAUGGUAGCAAUGCAUGGUUCAACAAGGGCAUGAGGAAGGAGACCGGAUUUCCUUCAAGAAUGUCAACAUCUGAAGAAAUACUGAAAUAGCACUUGUAGUUGAUGAAGGUUGUUGUGAGAAUAUCAUGUACAUCAAAAGGAAGCAACAUUUCAACUUGGUCUUCAUUAAAUUUAUCACUAAGCUGCCUCAUUAUCAACUAAGAUGCAGACUGAGUGACAUAAGAGGGAAGGAGGUGGAUUGUGUUUCAGCAGUCAAGAAGCAACACAUGUAUUCUUAGAAUUCUUCCAACAUUGUUAUUUAAACAAUGUUGUUUAAAUAACAUUAGUUAUUUAAACAAGUUAUUAGUUAUUUAAACAAUGUUGUUUAAAAUCAUUAGGUAUUGCUAUAUAAUACUACUACAAAAGACAAUUUUUAUUUACAUUUUUUUUUUUUUUUGUUUAUAAUGUGAAUAUACGUCAAAUGAAGGCUUACCAACUGAACUGUACCAGAUUUACCUGAUGUUCUGAUUUGAAUGGUGCAUAGUAUAGUAAUGUCUAAUAAUACAGAUUUAAAUUAGAGGAUUUACUGUAUUCACGCUUCUCUUAUAGUCUUGAAGUCACAGGAGUUCGUAAGUUAGAAGAGGAUUUGACAAAAAAAUUUAUUUUGUG